UCAAGAAAGAAAGGGCCUCGAAGAACCCUAAUUUCACAAAUUUGACAUCGCCCUUUCUAUUGACUGUCUAGUCUAUCCAAUUCUCCCCUCUUUCUGCAUAUUCUAUCCAAGGAUCACUCCCAGCUCACAAUCGCUCCAAUUCACCUCACCGCCUCAGAAUUUAUUGCGUGCUUUUGUCUGUGAGAACAUGGGUUUAAUGGGAAAUUCUUGCUUGCUCGAUGCGUAGAUGAUGGAAUUAUCAACAUUUCAGCUGCAGGGCUCUUAUAGAAGCUUCCCUUGUGUGCCCUCAGUGUGGGACAGAGGAGCCAACUGCAAUACCUUUUGCCCUCAGUCACAGUCCCACGAGUUGGGAGAAAAGAUAGACCAAUCUCUUUAAAAUCCAGAUCAUG